AGGCUCGGAUGUAAAAACGGUGCGUGUGGGAUUUUUUAACAUUUUUUCAGUACUUUGGAAGACUAUCCAAUCACUCUCUUUCAAUGAGGUGGGUGCGCGACUUUCCGGACAUCCUGUAAAUAUAUAUUAAUAUUAAUAUUAAUAUUAAUAUUAAUAUUAAUAUUAAUAUUAAUAUUAAUAUUAAUAUUAGUAUUAAUAUUAAUAUUAAUAUAUUAAUAUAUAUUAGAGGUGAAAUUCUUCGAUCGUCGCAAGAAUGACAGAAGCGAAAGCGUUUGCCAAAAACGCUUUCAUUAAUCAAGAACGAAAGUUAGAGGUUCGAAGGCGGUCAGAUACCGCCCUAGUUCUAACCAUAAACGAUGCCGGCUAGCGAUCCGCCGACGUUCCUCCGACGACUCGUCGAGCAGCUGCCAAAGCUUUUGAGCU
rnacentral:ncRNA from 1 species